rnacentral:tRNA from 1 species
GCCUUCGUGGUGUAGUGGUCAGCACGCUCGGCGGGUAUUCGAGAGGUUCGUGGUUCGAGUCCCGUCGAGGGCA